AUAUUACGACGACGUGGUUCUCUCCAUAUCUAUAAUGUGGUGGUUGAUCGUCAAUUAAAAAAUGAAGACCUAACUCUUGCCGACACUAUGUGUAGUUCCUUUUGUGAGACCUAUCUCUUGCUGACACUAUGUGUAGUCCCCUUACUGUGAAACUAAAAUGUUUUAUGCUUUAAACCAGUUUACAUUAUAUUCGUCAAAUAAUCAUCUAUAUAGAUGUGAUUUUAUAUCAGAUUAGUUAUCUCUUCUGAACAUUGACAACCAAUCUGAUUAACUUACGAAAUUUUACAGAGCAAUUAGUAGCAUAUAUCUCCCAGUAAAAAGCAGAGAGAGAGAAACAUAGUUAAGCAGAGAAGAAACCAUUAGAAACAGCAAGAGCAAAAUGAGAUUUAGCUUCAAGCUUCCUCUUUAAACUCUUGAUCAUGUCCUCCUCUUUUUUUUUUGAUAAUCCAGGUAUCCAAAGCCCAGUGAGUCCUGACUAGCCCACUAGCCCGAAAGCUUGGCGUACGUCCCGAAGGCGGCAAGAGUGGUUCCUGGAGACCACAAAAAGAAAAAGAAGAACCCAACCCAACCCAACCUCCGCAAUCCCAAAGGACGUCAACUUUGCCGGGAAAUUAUUACACAGCCCAACCUCCGCACAACUCGAUGCUUUCUUUGCCAUUAGCUUCAUCCUCCGCUCGUAUUCCUCCACCACCAUAUUGCUAUGUCAGCCAUUAAUUGUUACAAUCCCUCGAUCUUUCUCUUGAGUUCUAUGUGCCAAGAAUGAACACAACAUAGAAAGCUAAUUUAUAUUGUUGCUUUAACUUGCUGUUUCGGAUAAGGAUUGUUCCAUCUUUUUUUAAUUAUUAUAAGGAUCGGACUGCUGAUGUUUUUUUUAUUCCAACGGUUUAAGUUGUUUUAGUUUCUCAUUCAACGGUUACGAUUUAAGAUGAUAUUAUUAAUAAUUUAAUUUAUUAGAUAAAUGAAAAGGCACCUCUUUGCUUCCUUCCCCAAAUCGUCAUUUCUUUUUGUUUUGCCUUGCGGAAUCAAAGCUUCUCUUCGUAAAAACCUGUUCAAUUACGAAUUACCUCUUUUCAUACCUUUAUAUUUGGAAUAUGUUCAACUUACAACUUAUUUGGUUUUGUGCACUUCUCUCUCGCUUAUUCUCUUGAGAUGUCUUGUUUUAUCAUUUCCUCUUAUACCAAGUUGGGUUCAUUCCCGGUGGGUGUGGUUGUGUGGAGAAAGGCUUGAACGUUUGCUUACCAAGGCUUUUUCAUCUACAAUGUUUAUGAUUUUUCCUUUAUGUGAGAAUUCGUUGAUAUAUAUUAAAAGUGUCGUUGACGUGUGUAGUCACGACUUCUAUUUUCAACAUUCUUACCAGAGUACAAGAUUGGCUCAAACAAACCAAUAUGAAGGAACAUUGUUUACAUAGGUAAUUAAGUGCGGAACUGUGCGAAUUUGUCGUGCUAAAUUAUCCGCUUUACCAUUCUGGGAAUGAGGGACGUAGACUAAAAAAAAGAAGUAAACUCCUCUUUAUCCGCUUGUAUAUCCUCCAAAAAGGCAUGAAAGCUACCCACUCGGAAGACGAAGACACCAUCUUCACUAAGUCGGAGCAGUCGGUGAGAAAGACAACAGAUUGGUUAUCUGCCCCAAUCAUACAACACAUAGCCCAGACAAGGGCUUCAAUCUCUGAAGAGGGGAGAGACUACGGCGAAGGUUGGCAGCUCCCAUAGUAGGAGUGUCACCCGAGAGCGACGUGCAAAACAAUCCUCUACCCGCAUAACGAUCUGUUGCUUUCCAAGAAAUAUCUACAAAAUAAUUUCAUUAAUGUUGUUAGAUAGGAAAAGAUGGAUCUUGUUUAUAAAAAAAACACAUCUCGCUUGUUACCAUUUCUAGAGUUAUGGGA